CUUUUUAAUGCUCUAAGGCCUCCUCAAAGCUAUAAGGUCUCCUCAAAGUCUUCUUAAAGCCUGAAGGUCUCUUCAAAGUCUUCUCAAGGCUCUUAGGUCUCCUCAAAGUCUUCUCAAAACCUUAAGGUCUCCUCAAAGCCCUAAGGUCUCCCCAAGGUCUUCCCAAGGUCUUCUCAAAACCUUAAGGUCUCCUCAAAGCCCUAAGGUCUUCCCAAGGUCUUCCCAAGGUCUUCUCAAUCUCUUCCUUCUAGGCUUAGAGAAAUUUCAACGAGAAACUUGGAACCAGCCAGCCUAGGAGAACA